GACGAACGCUGGCGGCGUGCUUAACACAUGCAAGUCGAACGCUGAAGACCUGGCUUUUGUUGGGUUGGAUGAGUGGCGAACGGGUGAGUAACACGUGAGUAACCUGCCCUCUUCUUUGGGAUAACGCCCGGAAACGGGUGCUAAUACUGGAUAUUCACUGAUCUUCGCAUGGGGGUUGGUGGAAAGGUUUGUUCUGGUGGGGGAUGGGCUCGCGGCCUAUCAGCUUGUUGGUGGGGUGAUGGCCUACCAAGGCUUUGACGGGUAGCCGGCCUGAGAGGGUGACCGGUGACAUUGAGACUGAGAUACGGCCCAGACUCCUACGGGAGGCAGCAGUGGGGAAUAGUGCACAAUGGGCGAAAGCCUGAUGCAGCGACGCCGCGUGAGGGAUGGAGGCCUUCGGGUUGUAAACCUCUUUCGCUCAUGGUCAAGCCGCAACUGUGGGUUGUGGUGAGGGUAGUGGGUAAAGAAGCGCCGGCUAACUACGUG
rnacentral:rRNA from 1 species